rnacentral:rRNA from 1 species
GGGUGAGUCGGGUCCUAAGGCGAGGCCGACAGGCGUAGUCGAAUGGAUGAACGGGUGGAUAUUCCCGUACCGACCAUGGACCGGCAAAACCGAGACGGUGAGUACUAACCUCCGCCUCGUGGUGGUUCCUUCCUUCGGGUUGGUUCCGUCGCGUGGUGUUGGGACUGUAGCCGCAGUAGGUCAGCGCAGGGGUGACACGGAAUGGGAGCCGGCCGCGGAGGUGGUUUUCCGUGGUCAAGCACGCAGCCAGUCAUGUAGGCAAAUCCGCAUGGCGUGCAUGGCGAGGUGUGAUGAUGGGAGCCGUUAUGGUUCGAUAUCCGGUUGUCCAGGCCGUCGAGAAAAGCCUCGGCGUGAGGGCCAUGGCCGCCCGUACCCCAAACCGACACUGGUGGUCAGGUAGAGAAUACCAAGGCGAUCGAGCGAAUCCUGGUCAAGGAACUCGGCAAAUCACUCCCGUGCCUUCGGUAUAAGGGAGACCCACUGGGGUGAAGGACCUUGCGUCCGGAGCUUUGGUGGGUGGCACAGACCAGGGGGUAGCGACUGUUUACCAAAAACACAGGUGCAUGCGAAGGCGAAAGCCGCUGUAUAUGCACUGACGCCUGCCCGGUGCCGGAAGGUUAAGAGGAUCCGUCAAUCCCUUCGGGGACGAAGCGGUGAAUUCAAGCCCCGGUAAACGGCGGUGGUAACUAUAACCAUCCUAAGGUAGCGAAAUUCCUUGUCGGGUAAGUUCCGACCUGCACGAAUGGCGUAACGACUUCCCCACUGUCUCGACCAGGAGCUCGGCGAAAUUGCAGUACGAGUAAAGAUGCUCGUUAAGCGCAGAAGGACGAAAAGACCCCGGGACCUUUACUAUACCUUGGUAUUGGCGUUAGGCGCGGAUUGUGUAGCAUAGGCGGGAGGCUUUGAAACGGGUGCGCCAGCAUUCGUGGAGCCGCAAGGUGAAAUACCGCUCUGUUCUCGUUUGACGUCUAACCUCGACAAGUCAUCCUUGUCAGGGACAGUGCCUGGCGGGUAGUUCAACUGGGGCGGUUGCCUCCCAAAGAGUAACGGAGGCGCUCAAAGGUCCGCUCAGCCCGGUUGGCAAUCGGGUGUCGAGUGUAAUCGCACAAGCGGGCUUGACUGCGAGGACGACGGUCCGAGCAGGGACGAAAGUCGGAGAUAGUGAUCCGGUGCCGGCGCACGGGCGCGGCAUCGCUCAACGGAUAAAAGGUACCCCGGGGAUAACAGGCUGAUCAUUCCCAAGAGUCCAUAUCGACGGGAUGGUUUGGCACCUCGAUGUCGGCUCGUCGCAUCCUGGGGCUGGAGCAGGUCCCAAGGGUUCGGCUGUUCGCCGAUUAAAGCGGCACGCGAGCUGGGUUCAGAACGUCGUGAGACAGUUUGGUCUCUAUCCUCUGCGCUCGUUGGAAUCCUGAGGAGGCCUGCCCAUAGUACGAGAGGACCUGGGUGGACGAACCUCUGGUAUGCCGGUUGUCGCGCCAGCGGCACGGCCGGUUGGCUACGUUCGGGAGGGAUAACCGCUGAAAGCAUCUAAGCGGGAAGCCUGCUCCAAGAUUAGGAUUCCGUACGGUCUUGAACCGUUGUAGCCCGCAUGUUGAACACGUGUUUGAUAGGCCGGAGGUGGAAGCCCCGUGAGGGGUGGAGCCGACCGGUACUAACGGGCGACGGCGACAUAA